AAUCAACGCUGGCGGCGUGCCUAACACAUGCAAGUCGAACGCGAAAGCCCUUUCGGGGGUAAGUAGAGUGGCGUCCGGGUGAGUAACACGUAGGUAAUCUGCCUUCGGGUGGGGAAUAACCAGUCGAAAGAUUGGCUAAUACCGCAUAAUGCAGCGGCACCUAAUGGUGAUUAGUUGUUAAAGCGGGGGAUCGUAAGACCUCGCGCCUGAAGAGGAGCCUGCGGCAGAUUAGCAGUUGGUGAGGUAAUGGCUCACCAAGGCUUCGAUCUGUAGCUGGUCUGAGAGGACGGCCAGCCACACUGGCACUGACACACGGGCCAGACUCCUACGGGAGGCAGCAGUGGGGAAUUUUGGGCAAUGGGCGAAAAGCCUGACCCAGCAACGCCGCGUGAGGGAGGAAAUCCUUGGGAUGUAAACCUCACAAGCAAGGGAAGAGAGCUCAGGGCCGAAUAAGCUUUGAGUCCGACGGUACCUUGCGUAAGCCACGGCUAACUACGUGCCA
rnacentral:rRNA from 1 species